rnacentral:rRNA from 1 species
GUUGAACGCUGGCGGCAUGCUUUACACAUGCAAGUCGAACGGUAACAGGUUAAGCUGACGAGUGGCGAACGGGUGAGUAAUGCAUCGGAACGUGCCCGACCGUGGGGGAUAACGCAGCGAAAGCUGCGCUAAUACCGCAUACGAUCUGAGGAUGAAAGCGGGGGACCGUAAGGCCUCGCGCGAUCGGAGCGGCCGAUGUCAGAUUAGGUAGUUGGUGGGGUAAAGGCCCACCAAGCCGACGAUCUGUAGCUGGUCUGAGAGGACGACCAGCCCACCUGGGACUGAGACACGGCGCAGACUCCUACGGGAGGCAGCAGGGGGGAAUUUUGGACAAUGGGCGAAAGCCUGAUCCAGCAAUGCCGCGUGCAGGAAGAAGGCCUUCGGGUUGUAAACUGCUUUUGUACGGAGCGAAAAGGUCCUUUCUAAUACAAGGGGCUCAUGACGGUACCGUAAGAAUAAGCACCGGCUAACUACGUGCCAGCCGCCGCGGUAACAC